rnacentral:rRNA from 1 species
AUUGAACGCUGGCGGCAUGCUUUACACAUGCAAGUCGAACGGUAACAGGCCGCAAGGUGCUGACGAGUGGCGAACGGGUGCGUAAUGCAUCGGAACGUGCCCAGUCGUGGGGGAUAACUACUCGAAAGAGUAGCUAAUACCGCAUACGAUCUAUGGAUGAAAGCGGGGGACCGUAAGGCCUCGCGCGAUUGGAGCGGCCGAUGUCAGAUUAGGUAGUUGGUGGGGUAAAGGCUCACCAAGCCAACGAUCUGUAGCUGGUCUGAGAGGACAACCAGCCACACUGGGACUGAGACACGGCCCAGACUCCUACGGGAGGCAGCAGUGGGGAAUUUUGGACAAUGGGCGCAAGCCUGAUCCAGCAAUGCCGCGUGCAGGAAGAAGGCCUUCGGGUUGUAAACUGCUUUUGUACGGAACGAAACGGCUCUGGUUAAUACCCGGGGCUAAUGACGGUACCGUAAGAAUAAGCACCGGCUAACUACGUG